UACGUAGGGGGCAAGCGUUGUCCGGAUUUAUUGGGCGUAAAGAGCGUGUAGGCGGUCUGGUAGGUCCGUUGUGAAAACUCGAGGCUCAACCUCGAGACGCCGAUGGAAACCCUCAGACUAGAGUCCGGAAGAGGAGAGUGGAAUUCCUGGUGUAGCGGUGAAAUGCGCAGAUAUCAGGAAGAACACCCGUGGCUAAGGCGACUCUCUAGUACGUGACUGACGCUGAGACGCGAAAGCGUGGGGAGCGAACAGG
rnacentral:rRNA from 1 species